rnacentral:rRNA from 1 species
UUUAUGGAGAGUUUGAUCCUGGCUCAGGAUGAACGCUGGCGGCGUGCCUAAUACAUGCAAGUCGAGCGAACGGACGAGAAGCUUGCUUCUCUGAUGUUAGCGGCGGACGGGUGAGUAACACGUGGAUAACCUACCUAUAAGACUGGGAUAACUUCGGGAAACCGGAGCUAAUACCGGAUGAUAUUUUGAACC